AGAAUCAACGCUGGCGGCGUGCCUAACACAUGCAAGUCGAACGAGAAAGUGGAGCAAUCCAUGAGUAAAGUGGCGCACGGGUGAGUAACACGUGACUAACCUACCCGUUGAGUGGGGGGAUAACCUAGAGAAAUCUGGGCUAAUACCGCAUAAUACCUUCGGGUCAAAGGAGCAAUUCGCUUAAGGAGGGGGUCGCGGCCGAUUAGUUAGUUGGCGGGGUAAUGGCCCACCAAGACUAUGAUCGGUA
rnacentral:rRNA from 1 species